rnacentral:rRNA from 1 species
AUGGCUGCAGAAAAAUCAGCAAGGAAGGGUGGCAGACAGCAUCGUGGGGGAACGUCAAAGGAUCUGCCUGAUGAUCUUGCAGAAAUAUAUAAAACAGAUCCUGAAGAAGAUUACAAUCAGCGCAAGACUCGAAUCCUGGUCUGGUGUCGUGACGACAAUCUCUUCAAGCGCAACUUCCAGUUUGCUAAGGGUUCGGCAAAUGAAAACAAGAAGUCACGGGGAUUAGACUUCAAUCCUGGUCCCUCUGCUCCCCGUGAUGAUGGCACACGUGAAGCUGAAGAAAACAGAAUUGGCCCCUUUGCAAACCUUGAUGGCCUCAUCUCCUACAUCUUGGUACAAGGUGCCAAAGUGGAUCAUUCUGACAAUGAGGCUGAUUCUGAUGAAGCCCCAGCUCCUCCUCCAAGGCUGCAGAAGCCAAAGAAGAUUAAGGCUUCAUCAUCAGCUGCUCCUCCAAAAGCUUCUCGUGUGAAGCCACUGGCCACUGCACCUCUUGAAGCCAGUGUGCAGUCUGAAGAUCAAUCCCGCAUCUCCAAGAAGACGGAGAAGAAAAAGCAACUUGUCAGGCAUACUGAUCAAGCCUUGACCCCUGCCGCCAUUCUGCGUGAAGAACCCAUUGAUCUGUCCAGUGAUGAAGAUCUUGCUGAUGAUGCCCUUGAGCAACUGAUAAAGAGCAAGGAAGAAGCAGAAAUCUUCAACAAUUUGCCUCUCUUUGAUGUGGCAAUCAUCCAUAACUUCAUUGAUGAGUGGUUCGACACCCCUAAUCUAAGCUUUGAAGAUUUGCAGCUUCCCAUUGGCCUCAGCGUCUCUUUCAAUGGCGCCAUUGCUUCUGAGCUAGCUCUUGCUCAGCGCAUCGUUGAGCUGAAGAACAAAAUUGAUUAUGAGAAGACUCAAUUCAAGAAGCAUGUGGCAAAGCUCAGUGUUCAAGACGUCAGAAACUUCAAGGUCAUGCUGCAUGAGCUUAAAGAAGCUUUUCUGAAGAAGCGCCAAGAAGCACAAGGCUCUCGUGAGUGCAUGAAGAGUUUUGCUGAUAAGUGUGUGCUUGCCUACAAUGAGGCUGAGAAGCGCAAGUCACUUGGCCGUCCUGGCAUUGACCCCAAGAUGGCUGCAAAGAAAAAGAAGAAGCUUCCUGCUGACCAGCCUGCACCUUCAAGCCAAGAAGCCCCUCGCAUUAUCUUCCCAAGCAGCAUGACUGGCUCGAAGCCAAAGGUCACCACAACCGCUUCAGAACAGAAGAAGACGAGGGCUGCCGAGGCUGAAGCCAGAAAGAGGAAGAAUACUGAAGCAUCUGAUGCCGCUCCCUCCAAGAAGAAGCACAAGACUAAGAAGACUAGGGCUGCUCCCGCAGAGCCCUUAGUUGUUGAACCCAUUUCAGUGGUUCGCCCUACGUCAGAACAUCAAGAAAGAAGGAUGAUAGUUCAUCAGCCUGCUUCCAAAGAGGCUCAUGAAGCUGAAGAUAUAUCAGCAGCUGAACCCACUGCUGUUGAAGACAUUGGUCAUGAUGACAAUGUUAAAGAUGAUGAAGUUCUUCCUCAGAUCGAACACAACGUGGUAUCAUCGCCUGUUCUUACGAACAGCAAACUCAUCAGCAUUGGUCGUCCUCUGACGCCAAUUGCUCAGGAUGCAUCGUGGCCUGAUCACCCACAGCUACAAGACUCCCCAAGUACUCCCCAACAACAAUAA